rnacentral:rRNA from 1 species
UACGUAGGGUGCAAGCGUUGUCCGGAAUUAUUGGGCGUAAAGAGCGUGUAGGCGGCCGUACAGGUCAGCUGUGAAAACUCGAGGCUCAACCUCGAGACGUCGGUUGAAACCGUACGGCUAGAGUCCGGAAGAGGAGAGUGGAAUUCCCGGUGUAGCGGUGAAAUGCGCAGAUAUCGGGAAGAACACCCGUGGCGAAGGCGGCUCUCUGGGACGGUACUGACGCUGAGACGCGAAAGCGUGGGGAGCAAACAGG